GCAAAUGAAAGUAGAGGAAACAACGGCUCUUGAGAGGAAAACAGGAAAAGAAAUAAAACGCAGGAGAAAAAAAAAUGAAAUUGAAAAAAAGUAAGAUUUAGUGGGAGAAAGAGGAGACUGGGAGGGAGUAUGGCGUUGGAGAGUAAGAAAUUGAGCAUGGAUUCAAAGUGGGAGACAUCAAGGGUGAGCGCGACAAUGUUAAAAAGUAUGGUUGUUGUUACCAUAUCGACAAUGAUGAUGACGACAUCGUCGAAGGUUUGAGUUUUUGAUCUUGUCUUUACUCUUUUUUAAUUCAUAAUGUUAUCUUGUUUUUAUUCUUACAAAUCUGAACAUUACAUUUCUAUAGCAAUAGAGUGUGAUUGUAUAGUGAAGAUAAACAACAAACAUAAUUAUUGUACAAGAGAAACAAAAAAGAUACAUUGACUUUUUAUUUUUAUUUUUUUUAAUGCUCCUCUAUUUGUUUUCUUCUCCUUCUUUAUAUGUAUUUUCCAAAAGGAGAAUUAGUAUGAGAUGUCACCCCAAAAAGCCUCCAUUUUGAUUGAUUUUGGUCCCGAUUUAUAGGCUAAAGUGGAGAAUUUUGUGUUCAUUAAAUAAAAUUAAGUUUUUAAUUUUUUAUUGUUUUGCAGCAUAACCAAGCAAUCUCAGAUAAUUAAGAAAAUAAGUUGUUGAUCUUUUGAUUGCGUAUAAAAAUGGUGAAGAUAUAACUUUGUUACGAUAAAAAUAAUUAAAAUUAAAAUAGGAGAUGGAGUUGCUUGCAGUAAGAAGAAAAUAGAGGAAGGCGUGUAAGAG
rnacentral:lncRNA from 1 species